AUUGAACGCUGGCGGCAUGCUUUACACAUGCAAGUCGAACGGUAACAGGCCGCAAGGUGCUGACGAGUGGCGAACGGGUGAGUAAUGCAUCGGAACGUGCCCAGUCGUGGGGGAUAACUGCUCGAAAGAGCAGCUAAUACCGCAUACGAUCUAUGGAUGAAAGCGGGGGACCGUAAGGCCUCGCGCGAUUGGAGCGGCCGAUGUCAGAUUAGGUAGUUGGUGGGGUAAAGGCUCACCAAGCCAACGAUCUGUAGCUGGUCUGAGAGGACGACCAGCCACACUGGGACUGAGACACGGCCCAGACUCCUACGGGAGGCAGCAGUGGGGAAUUUUGGACAAUGGACGCAAGUCUGAUCCAGCCAUGCCGCGUGCGGGAAGAAGGCCUUCGGGUUGUAAACCGCUUUUGUCAGGGAAGAAACGCUCUGGGUUAAUACCUCGGGGUAAUGACGGUACCUGAAGAAUAAGCACCGGCUAACUACGUGCCAGCAGCCGCCGUAACAC
rnacentral:rRNA from 1 species